rnacentral:rRNA from 1 species
GACGGGUGAGUAACACGUGGGUAACCUGCCUGUAAGACUGGGAUAACUCCGGGAAACCGGAGCUAAUACCGGAUAGUUCCUUGAACCGCAUGGUUCAAGGAUGAAAGACGGUUUCGGCUGUCACUUACAGAUGGACCCGCGGCGCAUUAGCUAGUUGGUGGGGUAAUGGCUCACCAAGGCGACGAUGCGUAGCCGACCUGAGAGGGUGAUCGGCCACACUGGGACUGAGACACGGCCCAGACUCCUACGGGAGGCAGCAGUAGGGAAUCUUCCGCAAUGGACGAAAGUCUGACGGAGCAACGCCGCGUGAGUGAUGAAGGUUUUCGGAUCGUAAAGCUCUGUUGUUAGGGAAGAACAAGUGCGAGAGUAACUGCUCGCACCUUGACGGUACCUAACCAGAAAGCCACGGCUAACUACGUGCCAGCAGCCGCGGUAAUACGUAGGUGGCAAGCGUUGUCCGGAAUUAUUGGGCGUAAAGGGCUCGCAGGCGGUUUCUUAAGUCUGAUGUGAAAGCCCCCGGCUCAACCGGGGAGGGUCAUUGGAAACUGGGAAACUUGAGUGCAGAAGAGGAGAGUGGAAUUCCACGUGUAGCGGUGAAAUGCGUAGAGAUGUGGAGGAACACCAGUGGCGAAGGCGACUCUCUGGUCUGUAACUGACGCUGAGGAGCGAAAGCGUGGGGAGCGAACAGGAUUAGAUACCCUGGUAGUCCACGCCGUAAACGAUGAGUGCUAAGUGUUAGGGGGUUUCCGCCCCUUAGUGCUGCAGCUAACGCAUUAAGCACUCCGCCUGGGGAGUACGGUCGCAAGACUGAAACUCAAAGGAAUUGACGGGGGCCCGCACAAGCGGUGGAGCAUGUGGUUUAAUUCGAAGCAACGCGAAGAACCUUACCAGGUCUUGACAUCCUCUGACAACCCUAGAGAUAGGGCUUUCCCUUCGGGGACAGAGUGACAGGUGGUGCAUGGUUGUCGUCAGCUCGUGUCGUGAGAUGUUGGGUUAAGUCCCGCAACGAGCGCAACCCUUGAUCUUAGUUGCCAGCAUUUAGUUGGGCACUCUAAGGUGACUGCCGGUGACAAACCGGAGGAAGGUGGGGAUGACGUCAAAUCAUCAUGCCCCUUAUGACCUGGGCUACACACGUGCUACAAUGGACAGAACAAAGGGCUGCGAGACCGCAAGGUUUAGCCAAUCCCAUAAAUCUGUUCUCAGUUCGGAUCGCAGUCUGCAACUCGACUGCGUGAAGCUGGAAUCGCUAGUAAUCGCGGAUCAGCAUGCCGCGGUGAAUACGUU